ensembl:lncRNA
CUCGGAUGCAUUUUUUUUUAUUACAUUUUCAAAAUGCAAAAAUCUAAAACCUCUGAAUUGGACCUGCUUCAAUAACGAACGGUUAGUGGAUGAAUGCGUCGUGUCUGCGUGGACAGAACACACGCGGGCGGACUGCUGCAGCGGAAUGUGUUUGCUAUUAGGGAUCCAACUGUGGACGUGCAGAGAAAAGGCAGAAUGAUCUCCAGCAGGUACCACGCGCCAUCUACUGGAGCCCGAAGCGGCUCCAUCCUUCAACAAGCUGCUGCAGCACAAAGCUGCGUUUCACAUAUACGGUGAAUUUAAACCAUAUGGAAGACCUACAUGUUUCGAG